CCCUUAGAUGUUCUCGGCCGCACACGCGCUACACUGAAAGAGGCAACGUGUUUGCCUGAUUCGAAAGAAUUGGGUAACCCCCUAAUCUCUUUCGUGCUGGGGAUUGAGGUUUGCAAUUAUCCUUCAUGAACGAGGAAUUCCCAGUAAGUGCGAGUCAUUAUCUCGCGCUGACUACGUCCCUGCCCUUUGUACACACCGCCCGUCGCUACUACCGAUUGAAUGAUUUAGUGAGGACUUCGGACUGAGUCCAAUGCGGCUUUCGGGCUGCGUCGGUAUUCUGGAAAGAUGUCCAAACUGUAUCAUUUAGAGGAAGUAAAAGUCGUANCA
rnacentral:rRNA from 1 species